rnacentral:rRNA from 1 species
CCUACGGGAGGCUGCAGUGGGGAAUAUUGGACAAUGGGCGCAAGCCUGACCCAGCAACGCCGCGUGAAGGAAGAAGGCUUUCGGGUUGUAAACUUCUUUUAUCGGGGAGGAGUAGAAGACGGUACCUGACGAAUAAGCCACGGCUAACUACGUGCCAGCAGCCCCGGUAAUACGGAGGUGGCAAGCGUGGUCCGGAUUUACUGGGAGGCAAUGGCGUGUAGCCGGUUUUACAAGUCAGAUGUGAAAUCCUGGGGCUUAACCGCGGAACUGCAUUUGAUACUGUUGAUCUUGAGUAUUGGAGAGGCAGACAGAAUUCCUGGUGUAGCGGUGAAAUGCGUAGAUAUUAGGAGGAAUACCAGUGGCGAAGGCGGUCUGCUGGACAGAAACUGACGGUGAGGUGCGAAAGCGUGGGGAGCAAACAGGAUUAGAUACCCGUGUAGUC